ACCUGGGUGGCUCAGUGUUGAGCAUCUGACUUUGGCUCAGGUCAUGAUCCUGGGGCCCUGGGAUCAAGUCCCACAUCAGGUA
rnacentral:tRNA from 1 species